rnacentral:rRNA from 1 species
AUGCUUGUAUCUUCACUCGAUAUCAAUUUUGCAUUCAAUCCCAUUUUGCAGGUGGAAUGGGAGCCGUAUGGAAAAGGAGAGAGUUUUGGUAACCCUAUAGAGUUCAGGCUUAAUCCGAUGUGCAUUAGGGAUAGGGAUCUCUGGCAUAUGCGGUGCCCACUGAUAUGCAACUGGGCGGUUGAGCUUCACCUGCCACAUCGGGUGUUCCGCCAGUUUGGUUUGUUCCAGCCACACCCGCUGGAGUGGGAGGACACGGACAAGUUGCUACACGCGUUGGAUAGGAAAAAGCAGCGGAAGAUCAAGGAUUGGGCCAGCCAUCGCAGGAAGUAUGUCGUGCAGUUCGCUCUUAGUGUGGAGCAAGCAAGGGCCGGAAAACGAGCCCAGCUUCGUGAGCACUGCCCGAUCGCGUUCAACAACUAUCUCGCAUGGUUUCUUGCAAGUACCCGCGUGGAGGUAUGCCAGUCGGCGUAUGCUGAGGAGAUUCUGGAAGAACCCACCGUUUUUGAUGAGGUAGCCCAGCACCAGUACAACGCAUUAGUCAGGAAAGGCAACUCGGUGAUCCCUUCAGCUCCAAUGAUGAACUUUGUGCGUGCCCAGAUCAAGAAAGCAGCUGACGAGACUGAGACUAUUCUGGAAACAACCCCGGCUGGCAAAAGAGACGGGGAAGGUACACUUCGAGAAUUCAUUAAGCGCCAGGGCCAAAAGUUAAGGCGGCUAUCAAACCUUUUCGGUUGUCGUGACCCCGAGUAUGUAUCACCAGAACGGUCUAGGCCGGCGACACCAUCAGAUCCCGCUUCGGGGCAGAGCCAUGGUGAACCUUUCCAGGAUGAGGAUGUGGGUGUGGUCACCCAAGAGGUUGCUGAUGAUAUGACCUUGGGGACGUACCGGGCUCGGUCUGCAUACGAGUUGAAGCCUAGGAGGGGAAUCAACAAGUACACACCUGAAGACUUCACCCAAAGAGGCAAAAGGACGGUCGGCACCUCGCGGAUGGCGGCUUUGGAUGACUAUUUGGAUGACGAUGUCGAACCGGAGGCGGAGCCGGAGCCGGAGCGGGUUCCUCUUCCUAGGAAGGUGAAGAAGAUAAGCGUCAAGAGGGGGAGAGGACCCAGCAAGCGUGGAAAGCACUAG